CGGCAUGAUCGAAGCAGCAUUAGGUACAAGUUCAGCCACAGAUAUAUAUAAAUAUAAAUAUAUAGUAGAUGUGCUGUAAAUGAGAUAAAUCUUGUAGUUUUUGCUUAGGUGAGUAUCAAUUUACAAUCCAACUCUUGCUUUAAUUUUUUGUGCUGCUUCUUUCAUAUGUCGCUGUAUUGAUACUAACAUCGUUGUUCCAUUCAGACAGACAACGUUGCGUGUGUGGGAUGUUCUUUUCUACGAGGGAGCAAAGGUUUUAUUCAGUGUAGCCUUGGCAAUUUUUAAGAUGAAUGAAGAAGAGUUGCUGUUGACACAUCAUGUAGGUGAUGUGAUAAUUGUUAUACAGAGAAGUACUCAUUACCUCUUUUGAUCCUCUGAUGAAUUGAAGACAACGGGUGCAUAUCCUGGAAGCAAGAGAAACAAGCAGCUAAAGUGACGGAAGCCAAAAGGAAACGAGAAGAGGCAUUUUUAUGAUCAACAAUAUUUUAUUGGAUUUGAUGUAGGAUGAUUGUAUGAUGGAUAUUUUUUCAAUGUAGGAUGAUAAAGAAUAUUUGAAAUUAAUGAAUGACCUUUUUAUUA